GAUGAACGCUGGCGGCGUGCCUAAUACAUGCAAGUCGAGCGAACGGACGAGAAGCUUGCUUCUCUGAUGUUAGCGGCGGACGGGUGAGUAACACGUGGAUAACCUACCUAUAAGACUGGGAUAACUUCGGGAAACCGUAGCUAAUACCGGAUAAUAUUUUGAACCGCAUGGUUCAAAAGUGAAAGACGGUCUUGCUGUCACUUAUAGAUGGAUCCGCGCUGCAUUAGCUAGUUGGUAAGGUAACGGCUUACCAAGGCAACGAUGCAUAGCCGACCUGAGAGGGUGAUCGGCCACACUGGAACUGAGACACGGUCCAGACUCCUACGGGAGGCAGCAGUAGGGAAUCUUCCGCAAUGGGCGAAAGCCUGACGGAGCAACGCCGCGUGAGUGAUGAAGGUCUUCGGAUCGUAAAACUCUGUUAUUAGGGAAGAAAAUAUGUGUAAGUAACUGUGCACAUCUUGACGGUACCUAAUCAGAAAGCCACGGCUAACUACGUG
rnacentral:rRNA from 1 species